UACAGAGGGUGCGAGCGUUGUCCGGAAUCACUGGGCGUAAAGGGCGCGUAGGUGGUUGGGUAAGCGUGUGGUGAAAGCCCGGGGCUCAACCCCGGGUCGGCCAUGCGAACUGCCCGACUGGAGCAUGGUAGAGGCAGGCGGAAUUGACGGUGUAGCGGUGAAAUGCAUAGAUAUCGUCAAGAACACCGAUAGCGAAGGCAGCUUACUAAGCUGUAACUGACGCUGAGGCACGAAAGUGUGGGGAUCAAACAGG
rnacentral:rRNA from 1 species